rnacentral:rRNA from 1 species
UACGGGGGGGGUAAGCGUUGUUCGGAAUUACUGGGCGUAAAGGGCUCGUAGGCGGCCAACUAAGUCAUACGUGAAAUCCCUCAGCUUAACUGGGGACUGCGUGUGAUACUGGAUGGCUUGGAUUUGGGAGAGGGAUGCGGAAUUCCAGGUGUAGCGGUGAAAUGCGUAGAUAUCUGGAGGAACACCGGUGGCGAAGGCGGCAUCCUGGACCAAUAUUGACGCUGAGGAGCGAAAGCCAGGGAGCAAAGCGGG